CGUUGCGAUCAUACCAACACUAAUGCACCGGAUCCCAUCAGAACUCCGCAGUUAAGCGUGCUUGGGCGAGAGUAGUAUUAGGAUGGGUGACCCCCUGGGAAGUCCUCGUGUUGCAACCC
rnacentral:rRNA from 1 species